GAGAUGUCAGAUAUAAGACGUGCGCUUUCUAGGGUUCACAGAUAGUCCGUCCCUUUGCUGCUGCAUUUUGGUUGAUUUCCUACCUCCCCUCAAUUUUCUUCGAGCAGCUAUGAUUAUCCCAGAGAAGAACCGAAGAGAGAUCUCCAAGUACCUCUUCCAAGAGGGAGUAUGCUUUGCAAAGAAGGACUACAACUUGGCAAAGCAUCCGAAUAUCGAUGCGCCAAACCUACAGGUGAUAAAAUUGAUGCAGAGUUUCAAGUCGAAGGAAUACGUGCGUGAGACCUUUGCUUGGAUGCACUACUAUUGGUAUCUGACCAAUGACGGCAUUGAGUUCCUCAGGACUUACCUCAAUCUUCCUUCCGAAAUUGUCCCUGCUACUCUCAAGAAGUCUGCUAAGCCUCUUGGUCGUCCCAUGGGUGGCCCUCCUGGCGACCGUCCCCGGUAAUUUGUAUAUNGCCCCCCCGGUGAGUUUGGAGGCGACAAGGGUGGAGCUCCAGCUGACUACCAGCCUGCAUUCAGGGGUGGUGGUGGAAGACCUGGAUUCGGGCGUGGGGCAGGAGGUUUCGGUGGUGCACCCCCUAGCUCAAGCUUCGCUUAAAGUGAUCAUAUCUUUAUUGUAGCUAGUUUUUAUGCAAUUUUGAUAAUCACAUGUUGGAAUUGACUUGCAGCAGUCGAAAGAACUUGGUUCAAUUGGGCAUAAACUUCUUUAUUGGAUUUUUAGAGAACUAAUUUUGCAUGUAUUGUUUAUGUUUGGUAUGAGCAAUAUUAGUAAUAUAUGUUAUUUCAGAGUAAUUUAAAUA